rnacentral:lncRNA from 1 species
UUUUUUUUUUUUUUUUUUUCUUUUUUGGUUUUUUUGUCUUUUAGGUCCGCACCUGCGGCAUACGGAGGUUCCCAGGCUAGGGGCUGAAUCAGAGCUGUAGCCGCUGGCCACAGCCAGAGCCACAGCAAAGCGGGAUCUGAGCUGCAUCUGUGGCCUACACCACAGCUCACAGCAACACCAGAUCCCUAACCCUCUGAACGAGGCCAAGGAUUGACCCUGCGUCCUCAUGGAUGCUAGUUGGUUUCAUUAACCACUGAACCACAACAGGAACUCCUCUGUGGAUAGUUUUUAUGAGGUAAAAUUUUCAGUUAUCAAGUGGGUUCUGGACUUGAUUAAUAAAGGGGUGAUAAGCAUUAUAAAGACUGUGGCAGAGUAACUGCUUUUGAGUGCACUGGGAACUUUCAAAAAGGAAAUUAAUGAGCCCGGGACAGUUCAUUGCCACUUUAAGGCACACAGGGAAAGCCAGAGGGCCUGUUUGGUAGCCUUAACGUUUUCGUCUCCUACCCCUGCAAGUCAGAUCAUGCUGAAAAUCAGAUCAAAGAUCUGAUUAUAAAAGUCAGAACUACAAAGGAUACUAAAUGUGCAGCCAAAAUAAAUAUCUCAUGUCAUUGCCAGAGCCCUGGUGGAAAAAGAUUGGGCUUCUGAGGCUCAGGGAGGGGACGGUGGGUAAACGAGCUUCCGAUUCUUGAAUCUCAACAUUCCUCAGAAUUACCCCCUCCCUGUAUACCAGAAUAAUCAGUGACUUUACCUGCAGUAAAUGCCUCAUGAUGGGAAGCUUGGUCUUCUUAAGAUCCGCUUCUACUGAUUUUACUGUUCCCAGGCUGAUAACCAGGGUCAGAUCCCAGCACAGCCUGAGUGGGGAAUUACAGCCCCCACUCUGGGAGGAAAUUGCCUAUGCCCCAAAUAAAUUUUAGGAACUGGCUGAGUUGUACCAACAGGAAUCAGGAAACUUAUGUGGGAGGGGACCUUUAGGAUAUUAGACUAGGAGAAGGGGCAGAAUAUGGGGCUAAUGGAUGAGUGCACACCCCUGUGACCCACAAAUUCUGAAAAGGGCAGUUGAAGCCAAUCUAGUUACCUAGAAUGGGUCCUUGAAACUUGAACACGACAAUGGCCUACCAUAACAAUGUAAUAAUGUCAGAACUGCUAUGGCAGAAUAUUGAAAAAGCCAAAAAAUUUAGGGAAAUACUAACAGUGGAAUGGACAUAGGAUGUAAGACCUGAAAACCCAUAGCCUGACCUUGUGCUCCUAGAGGACACAGACAGUGGCUCAUUCACUAGAGAUUUCACUAGUGGGAAGGGAAGUGGCAUCUUCGAAGGCUGAGUUGACAAUGAGGAAUAUUGCCACGGAAUGAGGCUUUCUGCUAUCUUUAGGAAUGAUGGGAUUCUGAAAUGGCAAAAAAAAACAAAAAACACGUGGCAGCACCUAAAACCAGGGACAAGAGGCCUGAUUACUUUAAUGUGCAGAAGGCCAGAGUGGCAUUCAGGGCAUCUUGACCUGCAGGAAUUUGUGGCAUUGGCUAGUGGACUUUGGUGUUCAUGGUGGUUAGGCAGAUGGAUAAGAGUAUGGCUCAGUUUUUAUAGUGAAAAAGUACCGAUAGCUGGAGAGCAAAAGGCUAAUACCUGUUCCUCAUCCAGUUUUGGAUCUAAGUCAGCUCACAAAUCCUUAGACCAGUGAUGGAGGGAUUGAACCCUCUUACAGAAGGAGCCUGCAAUUGGAGAUGGUAAUUCUCCAAUCUUUCCCCAAACAGACAUGUUGCCUUUUGCCAUGGUAGUGAUACCCUGGGGGGGAAGUCUGUGGGUCCACCCCUUGUUCAUUUCUCUGAUGAUAACUGAUGAUAACUUUGGCUAGAAUACAGAAAUGGGAUGAAUAUCUUUAAGAGAUCCUUCACAUUGGUUCCCUGCCUGAUGGGGGAAAAGUCAUUUUUAUAGGAAGGGCCAUGGAAGCUGUCCUUUGUCCUGGCCAAGGCAGUAAAUCAGAAGUAGUAUGUCAUUUCGAGAGGAAUUACAGAAAUUAGUGAUACUAUUGAAGACUUAAAGAAUGCAGGGAUCGCAUCUCUAUUCAAUUCAUUUUUCUAACCUUUGUAAAAACCAGACACAUCUUGGAGAAUGGUGGUGGAAAAUUACUGUGCACUUAACCAGGCGGUAGCACCAAUUGCAGCACAGCUGCCGUGCCAGUUGCAAUAUCUCUGACACUUGAUAUGUGGCUGUUGAUAUGGUGAAUUAUUUUUGCCUUUAUUCCUAAUAAUAGGAAGGUCAAAAACAGUUCUCUCUUAUGUGACAAGGAAAGACCUUCUCUAUUGCCCUUCUGUUGAGAGAUGCAUUUGAACAAAAGAGGUAGGUGCUGGGGGUUGGCUGGACCACCUGUUCAUGUCAUUUACUUGUGCCAUCUGGAUUUGGUCAGGCCAAAUCCUAAAUGUAUCACUUUUAUCAUACAGUGGAUGACUGCUGUAUCCACCCAACCCUAUGACUCAUUGGCUCUGAUAAUACUCAGAGCAUAAGGAACAUUUGUGGUUACAUAGUCACUUGGUGUUCCAUGGUCAGGCAUUUAGUCUUGGGUAGAGCCCAGAAGCAAGGCACGGGCCUUGCUGCAGGACUCUGGAGUCUGCCCUGCAUCUCCUACUGAAGUUUGUUUAAAAGCCCACAGCAUCACUCUCUGCCACUAGAUACUUCUAGUACUCUGGGAAAUGCUGGGUCCUAUAGUCUAAGUGUUGGGGAAGCCUGCACAAACUGGGGAGCCCGUUUUGUCUCUGAGCCUCACUGGAAACUCUCAUCCCUCUGAGUCACCCAGUAGGACUUGGACUUGGCUCUAGAAAGAUGAAAAUAAAUGUCAACUCUCAUCAAAAAUGAGCAGUUGCCACAUUACAGCCCCACUUAGAGGUGGCCCCCAGAAGUAGUGGUGGAGGAAAUCCUCCCAGUGGGCAGAGUUAAUGUGUGGAAGUGCCAGCUCCUUGUCAAUAGUGAAUGGUUCAGCUUAUUGAUCAGGGAUCUGGAAGGAAAAAGACUACAGUCCGUAUACCACCUCCAGUGUCCUAACCCUGCGAGAUGUCUCUGAUCUGGCCUUCUAGCUGACAUUUCACCAGGCCAUUCCACCAUUUUUUAUCAGGCUGGUCAUCCCCGAGUGACAAGGGACAUGAGAGACUGGGCAUCUUUGGUUUAAACCCAAUGUGCCAUACCUGCUUGGUAGUAAAAUGUGCUCUUUGGUUUGGUUGUAACGUAGUAUAGGAUUCUCUGGUGAUAACUCAGGCAUUUUGUCAGCCCUUAGAUGGUGGUAGAUGGUGGUAGAGACGCCAAAUAAAAUCAGAAACAAAGAAGUCUGGGGAAGAAGUACAUGAAUGAGUAGGGAGUAGGCACAAAAUAUCUAGUUGACAUCAGCUAGCCUCUGUCCUUGGCCUCAGACAUGCUUGUAGAAUGGGCCAUGAGUAAAUUAGCCACUGUGGCAGGAAUGGAGGCCCCUAAAUGUGAAGUCCUUUUCUUCCAAGCUGCCCAAGUUUUGAUGCUGAAGGCCUAACAUACAAGCAGCAGGGGCUCUUCUGAGCCCUUGAUAUGGCCCAAUUCAUGGGGAGAUGAGCUAGCCUCCUGGUGGCAAGUAGAUGAUGUCAGACUCCGUCCAAUUUGGAAAGUCCUUCUUCCUCACUAGAAUCACCACCUACUCAAGUUAAAAGUUUGUUCUACCAACAGUGCCUCCACCACCACCAUCAUCUGAGAGGUGACAGAUGUCUUGAUCUAUAGGACAUAUGAUAUCCCACACUACUUUGUGCUAGGCCAGAGAGAAUAUUUUACUACAAAGCAAAUACAAAACAUUAGGCUAAAAACAGUUUUCCAUGUCCUUCAUCACCUAGGGGUGACCGGCCUGAUAAAAAUGGUGAAAAGUCCUGGGGAAGUCUCAACUAAAAGGCUAGCUCAGGGACACCUCAACACUAGGUGCAGGACACACACAGCACCAGAGCUGAUCGACAGUGCUGCCACGCGUGGGUCCAGACACCAAGGGGUGGAAGCAGCCUGGGCCUUCUCACCCUCAGUCCAAGUAGAGAUGCAGAAUUUUAGCUUCCUGUUCCUGCCACGUGGAUUUUGCUGGGUUAUAAAGAAUCUGACUAGUAUCCAUGAGAAUUCAGGUUUGAUGCCUGGGCUCACUCAGUGGGUUAAGGAUCCGCCAUUACUGUCGCAUGUGUGGCUCAGAUCUGACGUGGCUAUGGCUGUGGUAUAGGCCGGUAGCUGUAGCUCCAAUUUGACUCCUAGUCUGGGAACUUCCACAUGCUGUGGGGGUGGCCUUAAGAAAAAGACAAUAAAUAAAUAAAUAAUAGUAGUGGAGGAGUGAGAUGCUAAGUGUAUAUUUUGACUGUUGGACCAGCUAUGGCAGUGGGGACUAGAGCUUGGUUUGCUAAACCUCUUUAGGUCUUUCAAGGAGAUUGCAACUGAACAUUUCCUGAAAGAACUGGACUUGUAUCUCCCCUCUCAGGAAAGAAAUGAGGACGAUUUAUUCCUUAUGAGAUCUGAAUGUUGUAAGCAGGUAUGAACAUGUCUGAGGGGCAGGAGGGGUGGAGGUACCAGACCCAGUGAGUACGCUAGUGCACAGCUCCUUGGCCCAUUUACACCAAUGGCCUUGCACACUUGCCAUGCUUCCUGGCCAACACAGCCCUAACAACAACUCAUACUGUUGUCUUAGUUGUAAAGCUGUGCCUACAACCACUGCCACCAGCACAUACUGUGAGCCCCCGUGCACAGCAGUGACUGCCAGGGAGAGACCACCUUCACUACACACUCACUGGUCUAGACGCGUGGAGACCAGCCUCCCCCACAGCUGUGAUGGGAGCCAAGAAACACAACUGGGGGAUGCACAGGGGUCACAGCUUGUGAGCGAGCAAACAGGGAAAAGAAAGAAGGUGAACUGCUGCCCUUCCACCCCCAUCAGCAGGUGGUUCUAAGAUACUGUAGUUCUGCACCUCCUAUCUCGAGAGGUGCUAUCCCACAAAACAAUUGGUUGUGUUUUCUGUGAGGCUGUGGCACCCUGAGGCCAACUCCCCUCCUACUGCAUCUACCCCCACCCCCAGCCUCACUUCCCUUUGUUCACCUUCCUCGUUUCCCUGGAACUGCACUCUUCCCAGGUGAGUUAUAGCGUGUAUGUUUUUGCCCAAGCCUCUGUUUUCUACAGAACCUGGGCCGAGACACAGGGCUUCUUGGAAAAACAAGUUUUUACCGGUCUGGAGAAAGAAAUGUAUGCAACAAACCUGGGACUAGUGGUCUCAUAUCAGAAGGACACAGGAGCCAAUUUGAAGGGGCUCCCCCUGGCCAAAUAUAGCACAAUUUAGGCAUCAAAAGAAAUAUUGACUGUAGUGGUUUUAAACACAUCAAAUAUUUUUCAAAUCAUGAAUUCUUAAGGAU